rnacentral:rRNA from 1 species
CGCCGCGUGAGCGAUGAAGGCCUUCGGGUCGUAAAGCUCUGUUGUUAGAGAAGAACAAGUACGAGAGUAACUGCUCGUACCUUGACGGUACCUAACCAGAAAGCCACGGCUAACUACGUGCCAGCAGCCGCGGUAAUACGUAGGUGGCAAGCGUUAUCCGGAAUUAUUGGGCGUAAAGCGCGCGCAGGCGGUCUCUUAAGUCUGAUGUGAAAGCCCACGGCUCAACCGUGGAGGGUCAUUGGAAACUGGGAGACUUGAGUGCAGGAGAGAAAAGUGGAAUUCCACGUGUAGCGGUGAAAUGCGUAGAGAUGUGGAGGAACACCAGUGGCGAAGGCGGCUUUUUGGCCUGUAACUGACGCUGAGGCGCGAGAGCGUGGGGAGCAAACAGGAUUAGAUACCCUGGUAGUCCACGCCGUAAACGAUGAGUGCUAGGUGUUGGGGGUUCCACCCUCAGUGCUGAAGUUAACACAUUAAGCACUCCGCCUGGGGAGUACGACCGCAAGGUUG